GGAUAAGAGAAAACCUCACCAAGAAAGACCAUCAAACCAAGGCCUGGCUCCGAGAGCAGUUAUCUCUGUGGGCCACAGACACACAUGCGGGCUCCCACUGGGGCAUACUGUGCACAUACCCAGCCUGACCUUCUGUUAUCUUUGUUGACGUUACAAUGCAAGUGCUAAAUUUUAGAAACUGCUGGAGACAGACUCUCCUGUAAGAAGAGCCAAAGAUAGCAAGAGGACACUUGAUUUUUACCUGGAACCAAUCUCAUAGGACAUCUCUACUGGAAUCAGAAUUUUUUCCUUUGGAGAUGGAGAGCUCCAAAACCCACAGUGCUUGGAAGUGAGUAUUGUGUGGCUGGAGAUAGUUUG
rnacentral:lncRNA from 1 species